UAACUAUUUAUUGUUCUAACGUCAUCUUCGAGGUCAUCUUUUUCUCUGUGGAAGUUUACGGCGAAAAGUGCGGUAAGGAAACCAUGUCUGGAAAAUACAAAGAAGUUGGAUUUCAAAAAAGUUGCAAGUACCGCGACUAUUCUUGUCAUCGUUUCAACAAGAAAGGACGUCUGGCACCCGCUUGUCCAGUAAAAUCAUCUUCGCAACAUCCACCAGGGUCGUCUCACCGCAAGUCUGAAAGUAAGGUACAGUCGAACUGCAUUUUAUGGACGAGGAAAAUGCUAGUGAGUUUGAAAAAAUGUCUUUGUUCGUAAUUUAGCAACGCUGUUAUACCCUUAUAUUGUUUACUUAAAAAAUUGUAACUGGAGAUGGACUUCAGAUUGUCAAUCCUGUAUAUUACAUAAAAAGUCACCUUCAAAAGCAAAAUUAUCUCCAUGGAACUGGCCAAAUUCUCCUUUGGAGAGACUACAUGUUGACUUUAUGGGACCAUUUCUUGGCAAACACUUUUUCUUAAUUCUAGACGCUCAUAGUAAGUGGAUCAAAGUUUUUCCAUUGACUACAAUUACCAGUAGUUCCACAAUUCAGACAACGGUAUCCAAUUUGAAUCUCUCGAAUUCAAACAAUUUUUAAGUAAAGCAACCGGGCGAUGCUCAAAAUACCCAAUAAACCAGUGUGGAUUCAGGGAUUAGUUUUAAAGCGCCGUGGUAAUUGUACAUGCAUAGUUAGAGUUCCUGAAAUUGAUAAAAUUUGGAAACGUCAUUCCUAUGUCAAAUUCAGAGACUCCAUCUAUAUAUAACCACCCAGGUACCACAUGAUGUAAUUAGUGAUAUUGACAAUGUACCAUUAGCAUUAAGUAGGGAGAGAAGACAGAUCAAACCACCGGGUAGGUUUAUGUAAUAAAUUUAAGGUGGACGAAUGUAAUGUAUUGGGUUUUUCCCAAAAUUGAUAUCGG